GUUUUUAACAAGACAGAAAAACAAAUAAGAAUUUACCAAAACACUGAACAUUACAUCAGCAUUUCAGCCUCAGACAUGAACAUUCUGAGAGAUGCCUUUCGAAAUACAGACUCUCUGGAUGGGUGGACUGUGUGCAGUCCACAGCAGUGGGAAAGAAAUGAUGGCAACAAUUGUGGGGUUUUUGUUUGCACAAUGGCAGAGAUGGAAGCAAAAAUGUCUCCAGAGUUGCUUCACACUGACCAGCUGAUUCAUCUUCGGGUUUACCAUGCCUCCCGUUUGGUUGAAAAAUCUACAAAUUGGGGAAUUACAACCUAAGAAAACAGUGCAUAAAGCUGUAAACACAUGUAUGGCCCAGGACUUGCAUAUUUCAAAAAAUCUGGAAAAAAACCAUGCAUCCAGAUGUCAAAUCCCUGCAAUAGAUUCAGUUCGACAGCUGUAAUAAAUGGUUGCACUAUAAGUGCGCUGGUAUUGAUCCGGCAGUGGUUACAGACGACAUGCCAUUCAAUUGGGGAUUGGAUAUUGUUCAACCAUGUCCUUAUGAGAAGUAUGUAGUUUACAUUUGCAUAAAAAUUUAGUCUCUACAUAUACAUUCAGUCUUUGUGUAGCCCUCCAAUUAAUGUUUGCAAAACACUGUCAGUGUUGAAGCAGGGUUUGGUGGUGGACAUUGUAAUGACAGAUCAGGAAAGCAUGAAUUAUCUGGAAGUAAAAGGGAUAAUUCACUCAAAAAUGACCAUUUACUCACCCUCAUGUGAUUCUAAACCUUUGGGUUCCUUUUUUCCUUUAUACAUAAAAUUUGACAUUUCUAUGAAAGCUGAAAACAUGUAACUAUUGACAAUUUUUUGGAUGAUCCAUUCCUUUAAAAAUGAGAAAAAUGUGUUUUUUUCUUAAAUAUAAUCAUUUUAAUGUUAUGUUGCAGGAAUUACACAGUGGCUUGACAAGUGGCACAAUAAGGUCCAACAGGAUGUUUUUGCAUAAACAUCCAACAUUUUCCCCUUAACUGAAUAGGUAACUUGAUCUAAGUAUUAGUAUAUUUAAUG